rfam:Myceliophthora thermophila ATCC 42464 chromosome 1, complete sequence.
ACAUACGACCAUACCCGCCAGAGAACACGGGAUCCCGUCCGCUCUCCCUUAGUUAAACUGGCGAGGGCUCGAGUAGUAGUUGGGUCGGUGACGACCAGCGAAUUCCGAGUGUUGUAUGUU